rnacentral:tRNA from 18 species
UGGGGUGAAGCCGAUCUGGAAGGCAGCGGUCUCCAAAGCCGUCUCAUAGCGGGUUCGAAUCCCGUCACCCCUGCCA